rnacentral:lncRNA from 1 species
GGGUCCCAGGAGAUCAUUUAUAACUCUUUAAUAAGGAAAAGAUUUUGGAGCACCAUACAUUUUCAAUGGCUCUGAAGUGCAUGACCUACUUCACUGCAAGAUGUUUUAAAUCUUCCGAACCAUUUCCAUAGGGCAGUCCUUCACACAGGGUGACUGGAAAGAAGACUCAUUUAGCUCCAUGGUUUUGUUCAGAUUGCUAAUCAUAUUUCAAACCAGAACCACCUGCUGAAGACCUGCAGAAACAAAAGUAGAAGAAUUCUUAAUGUCCUAAUUUGAGAGGAGGUUAUAGCACAAUAUUAUUAAGAUCAAACUGCCUCAUGCUUGAAAUCAAGAACAAACCACUCUGCCAAAAAAGGGGAAACUCUUGCAGCCCAGCAGUGAUGAAUCUUGAUGUUCUCAGCUGCUAAACAGACCUGAGCAUUGGCCCAGAGAGAAACAGUCUCAGUAACCACUGCUUUUCCAGCAGCAGCU